AUUCCGAUCCAACCUCAAAUCCACAUCCAAUCCAACUCAGCGGCGCCUCUUCCGUCUCUCUGCCCUUUUGUUCGAAGUUUCCACCGUUUAUCGAAUCUAAAAUCUCAGGUUGCUAGGAACAAAAUCAAUAUAUUAUUCCUUUUGGUUCAUAGCAGAAAAAGCGUGGUGCUAGAAAAGACCAUACUGGUGAAGAAGAAACAUGGCAGCUAUCAUGUUUUUACCCCAUGAUUGAGGUAAAAUAAACACUAAUUUCCUUUCAGAUGGUUCUAUGUAUAUAGGACAUGCCUGUCAUCAUUAGAUAUCCCAUAUUUGGGAGUACCUUUGUGGUCUUGUUUUGGC